rnacentral:rRNA from 1 species
GACGAACGCUGGCGGCGUGCUUAACACAUGCAAGUCGAACGGAAAGGCCCCCUUGUGGGGUACUCGAGUGGCGAACGGGUGAGUAACACGUGAGUAACCUACCCUUGACUUUGGGAUAACUUCAGGAAACUGGGGCUAAUACCGGAUAGGAGCUCCUGCUGCAUGGUGGGGGUUGGAAAGUUUCGGCGGUUGGGGAUGGACUCGCGGCUUAUCAGCUUGUUGGUGGGGUAGUGGCUCACCAAGGCUUUGACGGGUAGCCGGCCUGAGAGGGUGACCGGCCACAUUGGGACUGAGAUACGGCCCAGACUCCUACGGGAGGCAGCAGUGGGGAAUAUUGCACAAUGGGCGGAAGCCUGAUGCAGCAACGCCGCGUGCGGGAUGACGGCCUUCGAGUUGUAAACCGCUUUCGCCUGUGACGAAGCGUGAGUGACGGUAAUGGGUAAAGAAGCACCGGCUAACUACGUG